AGAGUUUGAUCCUGGCUCAGAACGAACGCUGGCGGCAGGCCUAACACAUGCAAGUCGAGCGAGACCUUCGGGUCUAGCGGCGGACGGGUUAGUAACGCGUGGGAACGUGCCCCUCUCUGCGGAAUAGCCACUGGAAACGGUGAGUAAUACCGCAUACGCCCUUCGGGGGAAAGAUUUAUCGGAGAAGGAUCGGCCCGCGUUAGAUUAGAUAGUUGGUGGGGUAAUGGCCUACCAAGUCUACGAUCUAUAGCUGGUUUUAGAGGAUGAUCAGCAACACUGGGACUGAGACACGGCCCAGACUCCUACGGGAGGCAGCAGUGGGGAAUCUUAGACAAUGGGCGCAAGCCUGAUCUAGCCAUGCCGCGUGUGUGAUGAAGGUCUUAGGAUCGUAAAGCACUUUCGCCAGGGAUGAUAAUGACAGUACCUGGUAAAGAAACCCCGGCUAACUCCGUGCCAGCAGCCGCGGUAAUACGGAGGGGGUUAGCGUUGUUCGGAAUUACUGGGCGUAAAGCGUACGUAGGCGGAUCAGAAAGUUGGGGGUGAAAUCCCGGGGCUCAACCCCGGAACUGCCUCCAAAACUCCUGGUCUUGAGUUCGAGAGAGGUGAGUGGAAUUCCAAGUGUAGAGGUGAAAUUCGUAGAUAUUUGGAGGAACACCAGUGGCGAAGGCGGCUCACUGGCUCGAUACUGACGCUGAGGUACGAAAGUGUGGGGAGCAAACAGGAUUAGAUACCCUGGUAGUCCACACCGUAAACGAUGAAUGCCAGUCGUCGGGCAGUAUACUGUUCGGUGACACACCUAACGGAUUAAGCAUUCCGCCUGGGGAGUACGGUCGCAAGAUUAAAACUCAAGGAAUUGACGGGGGCCCGCACAAGCGGUGGAGCAUGUGGUUUAAUUCGAUGCAACGCGAAGAACCUUACCUACCCUUGACAUCUACAGAAGCCGGAAGAGAUUCGGGUGUGCCUUCGGGACUGUAAGACAGGUGCUGCAUGGCUGUCGUCAGCUCGUGUUGUUGAAAUGUUGGGUUAAGUCCCGUAACGAGCGCAACCCUUUGUCCUUUAUUUUGCCA
rnacentral:rRNA from 1 species